GACGAACGCUGGCGGCGUGCUUAACACAUGCAAGUCGAACGGUGAAGCGCUUACCUUUUUGGUGGGUGUGGAUGAGUGGCGAACGGGUGAGUAACACGUGAGUAACCUGCCCUCUUCUUCUGGAUAACCUCAUGAAAGUGGGGCUAAUACGGGGUAUUCCGGGUCUGUCGCAUGGCGGGUUUGGGAAAGAUUGCGCCUUUGGGUGUUUUCGGUGGGGGAUGGGCUCGCGGCCUAUCAGCUUGUUGGUGGGGUGAUGGCCUACCAGGGCGGUGACGGGUAGCCGGCCUGAGAGGGUGGACGGCCACACUGGGACUGAGACACGGCCCAGACUCCUGCGGGAGGCAGCAGUGGGGAAUAUUGCACAAUGGGCGCAAGCCUGAUGCAGCGACGCCGCGUGAGGGAUGGAGGCCUUCGGGUUGUGAACCUCUUUCGCCAGUGAAGCAGGCCUGCUCCUGUGUGGGUGGGUUGACGGUAGCUGGAUAAGAAGCGCCGGCUAACUACGUG
rnacentral:rRNA from 1 species